CAGCAGUCGCCGCGGUAAUACAGAGGGUGCGAGCGUUAAUCGGAUUGACUGGGCGUAAAGCGUGCGUAGGUGGCUUUUUAAGUCGGAUGUGAAAUCCCUGAGCUUAACCUAGGAAUUGCAUUCGAUACUAGGAAGCUAGAGUAUGGGAGAGGAUGGUAGAAUUCCAGGUGUAGCGGUGAAAUGCGUAGAGAUCUGGAGGAACACCGAUGGCGAAAGCAGCCAUCUGGCCUAAUACUGACACUGAGGUACGAAAGCAUGGGGAGCAAACGGGAUUAGAUACCCGAGUAGUCCCUGUCUCUUAUAA
rnacentral:rRNA from 1 species